GUUGGAUAUGGUACAUUCGGCAACAAAAUCAGCUAGGACUUGUGCCUUCAUGGACAGUCGUGGGCGAUAUUGAAUGUUGAAUUCACCAAGCUUUACUGCCCACUUUGCCAUCCGACCUGACGUGUCAGGUCGAUGUAAGAUUGCCUUCAGCGGCUGAUCUGUCAAAAGUAUAAUUUGAUGGGCUUGGAAGUAUGGACGAAGUCGUUGUGCUGAUAUAAUUAGGACGUAGAUUAUUUUCUUUGCCCUUGAGUAUCGAACUUCGGUAUUGUGAAGUAC
rnacentral:lncRNA from 1 species